CACGUAGGGUGCGAGCGUUGUCCGGAAUUAUUGGGCGUAAAGAGCUCGUAGGCGGUGUGUCGCGUCGGCCGUGAAAACCUGCAGCUUAACUGUGGGCUUGCGGUCGAUACGGGCAUCACUGGAGUUCGGCAGGGGAGACUGGAAUUCCUGGUGUAGCGGUGAAAUGCGUAGAUAUCGGAAGGAACAUCAGUGGCGAAGGCGACUUCCUGGACCAAUACUGACGCUGAGGUGCGAAAGCGUGGGGAGCAAACAGG
rnacentral:rRNA from 1 species